UAUUAAAAAUAUCGCCCAUUUGUAGUGUUAAAAACUGGUGUGACUAAUGGAAUAACUAAACAAUGACACCUAACGUCCCAGUGUAUCUCAUGCUGAUGUACAGGGACUAGUUUUUAACUGUAACAAUAGAUGAAGUUUUUAACA
rfam:Gossypium raimondii Chr05_contig_490, whole genome shotgun sequence.